UACGGGGGGGGCAAGCGUUGUUCGGAAUUACUGGGCGUAAAGGGCUUGUAGGUGGCCAACUAAGUCAGACGUGAAAUCCCUCGGCUUAACCGGGGAACUGCGUCUGAUACUGGAUGGCUAGAGUGUGGGAGAGGGAUGCGGAAUUCCAGGUGUAGCGGUGAAAUGCGUAGAUAUCAGGAGGAACACCUGCGGUGUAGACGGCUUUCUGGACCAUUGUUGACGCUGAGACACGAAAGCGUGGGUAGCAAACAGG
rnacentral:rRNA from 1 species